rnacentral:tRNA from 1 species
CUAUAGCUCAGUUGGUAGAGCAGCGGCCUUUUAAGCCGAGGGUCCCAGGUUCGAGUCCUGGU